GCUGCCAAUGUCAAGUCAUCAUGGGAAGCUAUGGCUGAGGGUCUUGUCAGCACGCUUAACAGAUAUGAUAAACUAGGAAACCCAUAUGUAUCAUUAGCUAAUU